rnacentral:rRNA from 1 species
CAUGCUUAACACAUGCAAGUCGAACGGGAUCCCGGGCUUCGGUUCGGGUGAGAGUGGCGGACGGGUGAGUAACGCGUGGGAACCUGCCCAUUGGUUCGGAACAACCGCGGGAAACUGCGGCUAAUACCGGAUACGGCCUGGGGGCAACUUCGGGGGAAAGAUUUAUUGCCGAUGGAGGGGCCCGCGUCCGAUUAGGUAGUUGGGGGGGUAAUGGCCCACCAAGCCAUCGAUCGGUAGCUGGUCUGAGAGGAUGAUCAGCCACACUGGGACUGAGAUACGGCCCAGACUCCUACGGGAGGCAGCAGUGGGGAAUAUUGGACAAUGGGGGCAACCCUGAUCCAGCAAUGCCGCGUGAGUGAUGAAGGCCUUCGGGUUGUAAAGCUCUUUUGCCAGGGACGAUGAUGACGGUACCUGGAGAAUAAGCCCCGGCUAACUUCGUGCCAGCCGCCGCAGUAAGAC